GAUGAACGCUGGCGGCGUGCCUAAUACAUGCAAGUCGAGCGAACAGAUGAGGAGCUUGCUCCUCUGACGUUAGCGGCGGACGGGUGAGUAACACGUGGAUAACCUACCUAUAAGACUGGGAUAACUUCGGGAAACCGGAGCUAAUACCGGAUAAUAUAUUGAACCGCAUGGUUCAAUAGUGAAAGACGGUUCUGCUGUCACUUAUAGAUGGAUCCGCGCCGCAUUAGCUAGUUGGUAAGGUAACGGCUUACCAAGGCAACGAUGCGUAGCCGACCUGAGAGGGUGAUCGGCCACACUGGGACUGAGACACGGUCCAGACUCCUACGGGAGGCAGCAGUAGGGAAUCUUCCGCAAUGGGCGAAAGCCUGACGGAGCAACGCCGCGUGAGUGAUGAAGGUCUUCGGAUCGUAAAACUCUGUUAUUAGGGAAGAACAAAUGUGUAAGUAACUAUGCACGUCUUGACGGUACCUAAUCAGAAAGCCACGGCUAACUACGUG
rnacentral:rRNA from 1 species